UCUGUUUACCAGUGGCAGUGUUUUAUAGAGAGCCCUUAUUUUUAAAUGUGGAGUGAUAGAGAUUUGAAUUUGCGGCACAUGUACUUAAUUAUGCUUCCCACAUAUUUCACAUAAACAUCUGUUGAUCUGCAAGUCAGCUGGAAACUAAAUAUAAAUUGAUUGCAUUGUGUGCAAUUUCAUCUUUCUGCUUAGUUGAAAAAAAUGCUAAUAUUGUUUAUAUAUACUACAUUAUGGAAUAUAUGGCUUUAAAAAAACAACAACCCAGCCAUUUCCCCCCUGAAUGCAAUAUAACUUAGUAGUAAAUAAGUUUUGAAAGCUUGGGAUACUGAAUAUAUUCUCAUACUGCUCAAAUGCUAUGAGAUCUAUGUAUAGUUAAUGGUGUGUAUCCAAUCAUCUUUCCAGGUAUCUUUUUCUUUCCUUUCUAUAUUCAUGAGAUGCCACUCCAGUAAACCAUGUGAAAUUUGUAAUAACUCUUCUGGUGCAAUAAUUUGAAAAUGUAGGAGCCCACAUUAUCAAGGACGUAAAAAGAGGCAAUAUAAAAUACCACAAUAACUUAAUACAACCAUUAUGGAGCAAAUGCCAGAACAAAUAGAACAAAUAAAUCAGACAUCCUAUGAGAUUGCCCCAGUUUGUGAAGCUAUCCCUAAUACACUAAUGUUUUGUGUAUUCAAGAUACAUGUUUGCCUUUUGUUAAGGACGCUUUUCUUAGAAUGCAACCUGAGAGUUAGCAUGAACUAGGAGAGCAGUAAGGGCAGUUUUCAUACAUUGCACAGUUCUGUGUAGGAAUUUAUUUGAAGCAUAUAGGUGGAUUGUAAUUUGUGAUAAUCCUACAUGCAGUUGUCAACAAUUGUAUCCAUAACAACUGCAGCAGUAGCGAACCCCGCAUGUAUGCUUGCCAUAGUUUAUGAACUAAUUGUGGAAAGUGUGAAGUAGUCCUAAUACAUACCUGCAGUGCUUUUUUUCUUAAAAAAAUGUUUAGGGGUACUCUCAUUUUCCUACUCAUAUUGAAAUACUGUCCCUCGGUGAGGCCAAACUUAGAUUCACAAAAUGUUAGGGGUAUGUGUACCCCUGUGUACCCCCCCAGGAAAAAAGCACUGCAUACCUGCAUAAUGUGUACAUCUUUUGCAACUAUUUAACAUUGCAUGGAUGUGUUUCAGGAUCCAAUGAGUUGUGAAUAAAUCUUUUGCUUGUUCAUGGGAGAUUAUGGCUUUGGUUCUGUCCCCACCCUCAUAGAAGUCCCAUAUACUCUUGUUGCUCAAAAUGUCGCUCCAAAAUAGAAUGAUUCUGCCAUGUAGGUUCAUGAGCAGCACAAGAACAUGCACUCAAAAGAGAAAUCCUGGAACAAACUCACAUAAACCGAUGGUCCUUGGCUGUAAAAUUUUAAUGUAUCACUGCAACUUCUUCAGGAAAUUAACAUUGGAAUCAAUGUGCUUUCUUAAUAAUGCCCCCUCCUUGUACAAAGCCAGUUGAGCAACACUAUGUUUUCUAUAGUUAUGUUGUUGUUUUUAUGUGCUACUGCAAAUUAAAUAUUCUUUACGUAUUUUCAGAUUGGGAUUUAUGUAAUUCAAAUGCACUAAAGAUAUAACAUCAGCUAUAUUGUGCACAGUAUGUGUUUUUAUUUCUUAAAAUGACUUAAGAAAGUCAUUUUAUCAAUGCCUGAAUUUCUGUUACUUUCCUUCAAUUGGUGAGCCCUGUACAUGUAGCCUAUAACUCACACAGGGGACCCUGACAUUAGUGAGCAACAAUGGAAGCCCACUUGCAAAUAUAUCAGUGCUUUGUAAUUCUUCAUUUUAAAGACAAAGAGAAAGGUCAUGGGGUUGAAAUGCUUCCCAUGAAAAUGAAGAGGUUGGCUGUGCUUAUUCCUUGGAUGAAGAAUAAUCUAAAACAUACAUUUUCAGUUAUUGUGCUGGGCUAGAUGUAUACAAAGACAGGGUCUGCUCUGCUUUUCCCCCAUGGUAGUGAAUUACAGGAGAAAGUAAAAGGGCUUCUGUGGCCUACCACUGUUUCCCCUAGCGUAUCAAACUGCUCUCUACUUUUAUGUCUUAAGGCAAGGGUCUGGUUCCACACAACCUCUGCAACUGUGUCUCCAAUUAUAGCCAUCUUGAUGUGUUCAACAGAAUGAAAUUGUGUCUUGAAAACUGAGCAAAUUCAUGGCCCCAAUCUUUCUAUCUCUACAUCCUCAUUCUGGCUUCGGUUGGUCAUGCUACAGCAUUGCAGAAUUGUAGAAGCUGGUUUUUAUGCAGAUAAUUCGUUCUAGGACUGAGUAGCUACUGAGUUGAGACUGAAAACAGGAACAAAUUAAGCUUCCUGUCUCUUUGUCGUGAACUGGCAGGACUAUGUGGAGGAGCAAGAGGAUCCUGGUGAGGGCCGUGGCCAGGACUGGGACACACUGGGGCAAGCUGGGGAUGGGGAAGGAGAGGUUGGUGUAGGAAGUAUGGGGUGAGGGAGGAUAACGAGGGGAAUGGGGGAAUUGCACAGGAACCAGAGCGGCAGGACCUAUCACCAGAGCCAGAGGGUCCCCUGUCUCCACAAAUACCACAGGCUCUGAGGCAGGCUUCCUCAGCCCUGGUCCUGCUAGCUAGAGAUCAUGGGAGUUGUAGACCAAAACAUCUGGAGGGCCGAGGUUGAGGAAGCCUGCUCUGAGGUGUAGGGAGCAGCGGGCAGGGCACACCAAGAGACUGAGGCAGGCAAGGGCUCACAGCCCAGCUCACUUGCUGGCCAGGUGGGGCUCGCUAGCUCUGGGAGGAGAUGUGAUUCCUCAGCUGGAGGAGGCUUGGCACAGGUGAGGGUCACCUGCCUCAUUAAGCCCAGAUGCUGCAAUCAGCAUGCAAAGUACAAAAGGGCAGCAGAGCUGAGGCGCUGAGUCUGCUCGACUGCCAAUGUUGAUGGAUGUCAGCUUGGAUGCUCCAAGAUCUCUGCAGGUCUGUGCUUUGGCUUAGACUUUGGACAUGUGGAUGACCCUGGACUGGGGACUUAAUAUACUGACUUGUCGCCAGGUAGGACAGAGGUUUUGGAUACUCUUCUGUUUUACAGACGGAAUAUGCAGGGCCAGCCUGAGACUGGUCUGGUUGCUUCCCCUUCCCUCCCAUGCUCUGCAGUCCUCCUGCCCAGUCAAUUGCUGACAAAAUGGUGGUAGCACAAGCAUUUCCAGCUUUGCUCUGAGAAUAAGGGUUCCUUCCUUAUUGUGGAUGAGGUUCUCCAGGGAGUGUCUGCAGUGUUGGCUCUUUCUGGCACUUUAGAAAUAAUUAAAAUCCCCUUAAAACAUUUUGAGAAAACUCCCCUUCUUCAGGGGAAGCCAGAAUUGUCCAUGGCACCAACCCUGUGGGAUAGUAAACAGAAAAGAGAGAUUGGUGGUAGUGUCUGGCAGCCAAUUGGCUAACUGGUAAAUUGCAGUGCCGGCAGUAGAUGGGGGUCCAUAGUCGAACACCCCUUUCUAUGUGCUGCCUGAGCCACAUUGCUCCACAUGGCUCAUGAUAGUGUCAGCUUUGGGGGGGAAAUGGCAGUCCACAUAUUCCGCCAGUGCACAGCCUCAUGGGCAAACUAAAACCUUAAUUUUUUUUUUAUAUUGAGUGGCUGAAUGGAGUUGUGUAUUUUUGUAGACAUUGUGAUUGGAAUUAUCUGUUAGGUUUCAUGGGCGUAGCCAAUGGGGGGGGGAAUAAAACAAUAGAAAUACUUAACUGACCAAUCACGUUGGUUCUGCCCCUCUAGCAAAGUCCUGCCCACCCACCACCAUGAAAAUCCUGGCUACGCCCAUGUUAGGUUUUCAUAUUGUUCCAACAUUUGCUGAAUCGAUUCGUUGUACACAAAUGUGAUAUUUGUAUAAAAGACAGCUUGUUUUGCAAUUCAGAAGUUAGCAGUGAGUUGUAAGCUAUGACACCACGUUACAUCUGAUUGCAGCAUCGUGCAUGAAGGCACUGAUCCUCAUGUAUGUGACGCCAACACAGUGUGCAAGUGUGUUGUGAAAAUGAGCAUUCUGUUUUUGUUUGUUGAAAUACUUGAAUAAAAUACUUCACUUAUGACAACCUUCAGUGCAUAUAUCGGUUGCUGUUGCAAUGCAUAGGGUGUGCAUUUAGAUGUGGAACUUUGCAAAAUGAGUUGCAGGAGCAGUUGUGCAACACCAUGCACAAACAUAAGCUUUCAAUUUUGACAGGCAAGGAUGCAAACAGGCUUUCUGUAAGAGGGGGAAUCUUUCUGCAAACGAAAUGACACCACUGGAAACAACCCAUUGUGCUCUUGCCUUGGAAAAUGCUGGACACACCAUCUUUGCUUUCAGUGGACUUAGUGGUGCAUUAAAACACAAAAUGCUUUUAAAGCAAUAACCUUGAGCCCUUGUUUUGGGGUAGACAACAAUAAAUAUAAUGCAUCCUAUGGGAAUGUACAAUGGAUUUUCACAUUUACUGUAUGCAGGCAUGGGGGGGGGGAAUCAAUAGUUUCCCUUUGGCUGUUUUAAGCCUUGUUUAGACUGAGCCUGGUAGAUUUCUGGAGAGAUGCCUUGAAACAUAAACCCCUGAUCUGGAAUUUUACCAGAAAUUAAAGUGGCACUAAAAAGAAAGCAAGAAUGUGAAUUGUGCUUCCUAUUUUGCUUUGCAGAUUUCUUUCAGCUGUGGAAUUGAUGGGUAUUUGGAAGAGGUGCAUUUGUUUGGUUAAGUCUUGCUUUAUUUUUGUUAACUAUUGCUAAGCGUAAAAUAUAUCCAAUCUGUCAACUGUCCUGGACUAGGAAUUGGGAAAUGUAGGUUCAAAUUCUCAUUCAGCCAUGAAGAUGAGUGGGUGACUUUGGGUUAUUUACUUUUCCCCAUCCUGACUUACCUCAUUGGGUUGUUCUGAGGAGGGAAAGGGAAGAAAUACCAUGUACACCACCCUGAGAUCCAUGGAAGAAAGGUGGGAUAGAUACG
rnacentral:lncRNA from 1 species